GUAAGUUUUGUGGGUCAAGGUAUAGUGAUUAAUUGGGAGUUCUAAGUUCGUUUACUUUGAGAAAAAUUAGAGUGUUUAAAAGCAGCCUCUCGGGGCAUUGAAUAGAUUAGCAUGGGAUAUAGAAUAGGAUUCUUGUCUAUUUAUGGUUUAUAGACUUAGAAUAAUGAUUAAUAGGGGAUAUUGGGGGGCACUUGUAUUCAAUAGUCAGAGGUGAAAUUCUAGGAUUUAUUGAAGACAAACUUCAGCGAAAGCAUUUGCCAAGGAUGUUUUCAUUAAUCAAGAACGAAAGUUAGGGGAUCGAAGACGAUUAGACACCGUCGUAGUCUUAACUAUAAACUAUGCCGACCAGGGAUAUGAGAGUUUUUAAUUUAUGUUAUGAAUAAUAACAUAAUCUCUUGUGGACCUUGUGAGAAAUCAUAAGUUUUUGGGUUCUGGGGGGG
rnacentral:rRNA from 1 species